rnacentral:rRNA from 1 species
UACGUAGGUGGCAAGCGUUGUCCGGAUUUAUUGGGCGUAAAGAGCGCGCAGGCGGUCGUUCAAGUCGCGUGUGAAAGCCCCCGGCUCAACUGGGGAGGGUCACGCGAUACUGAUCGACUCGAAGGCAGGAGAGGGAAGUGAAUUCCCGGUGUAGUGGUGAAAUGCGUAGAUAUCGGGAGGAACACCAGUGGCGAAGGCGACUUCCUGGCCUGUUCUUGACGCUGAGGCGCGAAAGCUAGGGGAGCAAACGGG